rnacentral:rRNA from 1 species
GACGAAGCCGUGCGAACGUUAUUCGGAAUCACUGGGCUUAAAGCGCGUGUAGGCGGGAGGGCACGUCCGUUGCUGAAAUCCCCCGGCUCAACCGGGGAACGGGCGCGGAUACGACUCUCCUUGAGGGGCGUAGGGGGACCUGGAACUUCCGGUGGAGCGGUGAAAUGCGUUGAGAUCGGAGGAACGCCCGUGGCGAAAGCGAGGUCCUGGACGCCUACUGACGCUGAGACGCGAAAGCCAGGGGAGCGAACGGG